CCAAACACAAAUAACAUGCUAGUUUGAAGCACAUCAAAGCCUUCUUAAUCCUUGCAUUGUAUCAGGAAGACGACUAUCCCGACAAUAUUUUUGAUACAUCAGACAAUGGAGACGCAGAAUUUAGUUUCCAAGCUGAGGAACCGUCGUCCACUAAGAAAUAUCCGCAAGAAUCUCAGACUUAUUCCUCAUUAACUGAGUAUAAAUGGAACCAGUUGGGCACCAGGGACCGAGUGAGUCAGGCUAGGAAACUCUACAUGGAACAGAAAGAUGCUGCUGCCGCUGUGAAAAAGUCCUCUGAAGAAAGCAAGACAACAGCUGUGGUGGAACACUUUAUCAGAGUGAGGAAUUCUGGAGAGUGCAAGAAGCCCAUUCCCAAAGUGAUUCCGGUUCAUCUGGAGCAUACAAACCCAUCAGUGACGUACAUCCCCCAUUGCACAGUGUUGCAUCGGUGUGCAGAAGAUACAGGGUG
rnacentral:lncRNA from 1 species